GCCUCCGGAGCCACCAGCGGCUGCAGAGCAGAGAGAGAAAAGCUUUGAGCUGCCUCUGCCCGAGGCUGGGAACCCAGGCACAGCUGCGGUGGGCUCUGGGCUGCCUCUAGGGUGGGCUAAGGAGACCUGAGGCACCUUCCCCUGGCUGCUUGGCCUGGAGCAACCUGAGCUGGUGGAGAUGUCCCUGCCCAGUGAAGGGGCUUGGAACUGGAUGGUCGUCAAGGUCCCUUCCCAGCCAAACCCUUCUGGGAUUCUAUGAAGCAGUGCCAGACUUGGCUGCUUGGUGGACUAAGGCAGACACAGGUGUGGGCAGUGGCUGAGCCUCCUGGCUGCUCCCUGACCCGAAUUUGCAGUUCAGGUAUCUGCAAACAGAGAAGGAGGCUCCAAAAGGCAGAUCCUGCUCCCGGCGGCACCUCCGCGCUCGGCACUGCCUUCCCAUGGCUCUGGCCAGGAGGGAAAAGCUGUGGGAACAGGCAAAACCCCCAAGGGAUUUCCUCUC